GCCGCCGUAGUAUAGCCCGGCCAAGUAUGCGGGCCUUUCGAGCCCGUGACCCGGGUUCAAAUCCCGGCGGCGGCA
rnacentral:tRNA from 3 species